rnacentral:rRNA from 1 species
ACGGAAGGCAGCAGUGAGGAAUAUUGGUCAAUGGAGGCAACUCUGAACCAGCCAUCUCGCGUGAAGGAAUACGGCCCUACGGGUCUUAAACUUCUUUUAUAGGGGGAUAAAGUGAGCCACGUGUGGCUUUUUGUAGGUACCCUAUGAAUAAGCAUCGGCUAACUCCGUGCCAGCAGCCGCGGUAAUACGGAGGAUGCGAGCGUUAUCCGGAUUUAUUGGGUUUAAAGGGUGCGCAGGCGGCACGUUAAGUCAGCGGUGAAAUGUAGGGGCUCAACCCGGGCACUGCCGUUGAAACUGGCGAGCUUGAGUACGGAUGAAGUCGGCGGAAUGUGAUGUGUAGCGGUGAAAUGCUUAGAUAUGUCACAGAACACCGAUUGCGAAGGCAGCUGACUAAUCCGCAACUGACGCUCAGGCACGAAAGCGUGGGGAUCGAACAGGAUUAGAUACCCUGGUA